AUGGUGGUUAAAAUUUUGCAACUGUUGAAAGUAUAAUCACCACUGGUAAUUUAUCCUGGUCACACUUGUCUUAAGUUUACCUAUGCUUUUGUUCACGAGUGGGAUCUUUCUGAUAGCGGUCAAACUUGGUUUGGCAGUAUUUAAGUUUGUGAAGCCCCCAAAGAACAAUGAGAAGCCGAUUGAUCAAAAGAGCAAGGUUAAGUUGAAAAUUACGAGUUUAAAAGUGAAAGGAGAAAUGGAGUAUGUACCAGAACUGGAAAUGCAUCUUUGUUGUUAGUUUCUUUUAGUGGCUUUUGGCAUGUGUCUUUAUAAUUCCUUCUUGUUUAUGUGAGAUAAAUUGAACUUCUUGUUUUGAAGUUGCAUGGAAUUUUCAUGGUCAUUUAUAGUAUCAUUGAUUGAAUCAGAUUUUUUAAUUGGAAUGAGUUGCUCAUAAAUUUAUUGGCCUCCUUCCAGGGAUUUAGGUCAAAACUUUGGAAAAUUCACUGAAAUAAAUAAACAUAAAGAAAAUGACAUCCAUUCUUUGACUUCCUUAGAAUUUCUAAAUUCAUAUUGUAUUUCAAAUAUUAAUCUGAAAAAAGAAAACUUGGGAUGAGGUAGUCUACACUACUUGUGAUUCUAUAUAAGUACAACAAUUAAAUGCAAAUGUUUCAGAUGCUGAAAAUUUUGUUGUAUGAUGCCAUUUGCAGUCUGAAGGGCAAAGCGAUCAAGUAACAGUGGAGCAAAUUCUGCGUGUUGUUUUCCUAGAUCCUGAAUGUCCUAGCCCUGUAGGAUUAUAUCCCAAAUAUGUCAUGUGACCUCUAUCAUUUAUGUCUGCAUCUAUCAUUUAUGUCUGCAAAUCUGUAUUUGUGGCUCCUCUUGUCUAUGCUUUCAUGGGAAGCUCAAGAGAUACAGCCAUAGGACCAGUGGCUGUGGUAUACCUUUUACUUGGUACACCCUUGACACAGUAUAUGACUCCCAAAUACAUAUUCUUCUUUCUUGAUCUGCCUGAAUUCUGGUUAAAAAGCCACUUCAAUUCUAAAGUUUGAACUUUUAGAUGAAGGUUCGGAAUAGUAAUAUCUUUGUCAUGCCCACUCACACAAGCCCUUUGCACUUGAAGUGUGGAAACUUAAUUUUUUUUUAGUCUAAUUGUUUUUCCUUUUUGAGUGGUGAGGACAUGAUCAUGGAAACUCUAGUACUGUUUCAAGAAUCCCUUCAAUUUAAACUUCUAGGCUGUUUGACAUCUAUAACAACUUUGAACAUGUUUGGUGCUGUCAAUCUAUGAGAAUUUUUGCAGGCUUGGUUUCUUGAUUGACUUCUUACCUCACGCUGCCAUUGUGGGCUUUACAGCAGGAGCUGCUGUUACUAUAGCCUUGCAGCAGCUUAAAGGACUCGCCUGGAAUGUCGUGAAGCCUGUGUGGACAAGGUUGUAAAACUGAAAAUCAUGUUUGAUCAUUUGAAGGUUGAAUAAGAUCUGCAGUCUACUUUUGAGGGGGACAACCAUGUUAUGAUGCAGCAGGGGGAACACCGAAGAUAGCAAAUGUGCCCGUCCCACAUGCUAUGAUCAUGAGUGACAAUGCUGACGAAGUUAAAAGCACGGAUAUCACCAGAAGCUUUUCGUACCCUUGUGACAUUGUUGACAAGAAAAGUAAGAAGAGGAUAGCAGAAACAGAGAAAAGGAAGGAGAGAAAGUUUGUCACAACAAAAACCUUGAAACCUUCAUUAUGCUUCAAUACGGGAGAGCCCUGAUGUUCACCCUCUUCUAUGGCACCCCCAGCUAUAUGAAGUAUGGUUUCAUCCUUGAUAUUGGCCUUUGCGAGAAGUGCUGGACACGUGCCUAACAUGUCUUCCACAAAUGUUUGCGAUACAUUGUCAGUGUAAUUUGUGAAGUGUAUGUGAAGGAUUGUAUUUUCAUUUGGGGUUAGUAUGGACCCAAUUUGCUCACCAUCCUUUCCCUUAAAAGCAUCAAUGUUACCUUUCACUGAAGCAUUGUAAAACUCAAGUUCCAUGCCUUUGAUGACUUCGUUGUCUUUUAA